rnacentral:rRNA from 1 species
AUGCUAGGCUUGCUUCAGCCGCUGCCCGUGCCCACGGAGCCAUGGCACGACCUAACCAUGGACUUCAUCGAGGGAUUGCCGGCGUCUGAGGGCUACGAGGUCAUCAUGGUUGUCGUCGACCGCUUCACCAAGUACGCACAUUUCGUGCCUCUCCGCCAUCCCUUCACGGCUGCAACGGUGGCACGUGCCUUCUGGGACAAUAUCAUCAAGCUCCAUGGCGUUCCUCACUCCAUCGUCUCCGACCGGGACUGUAUCUUCACCAGCAACAUGUGGCGUGCCAUUCUGGAUGCUGCUGGCACCAAACUGAGCUACUCCACGGCGUACCACUCACAAACCGACGGCCAGAGCGAGCGUGUGAACCAGUGUCUGGAGAUGUACCUGCGCUGCGCCGUCCAUGAUACACCAUCCAAGUGGCGCAAGUGGCUCUCGACAGCGGAAUUCUGGUACAAUACUACCUAUCAUUCCUCGCUGAAUACCUCACCCUUUCAGGCACUGUAUGGGAAGGAACCCAAUUUUGGAGGACUACCGACGCUCGCCGCACAAUUGCCAGCAGAAACGAGCUCAGAGCUGGACUGGGCCACGCAUACAGACGCCCUCCGGGCACAACUCGCGCGCGCCCAGAAUCGUGUCAAAUAG